rnacentral:rRNA from 1 species
GCCCCACCCACCUAGAGGAGCCUGUUCUAUAAUCGAUAACCCCCGCUUAACCUCACCACUUCUUGCCAAUACCGCCUAUAUACCACCGUCGCCAGCCCACCCCGUGAGGGAAAUAGUAGGCACAAUGAUAAGUCACCAAAACGUCAGGUCAAGGUGUAGCGUAUGAAGUGGAAAGAAAUGGGCUACAUUCUCUAACCUAGAGCACACGAAAAAUCAUAUGAAAUUAGAUUAGAAGGAGGAUUUAGUAGUAAAAAGAAACAAUAGUGUUCUUUUUAAGUUGGCCCUGGGGCGCGCACACACCGCCCGUCACCCUCUUCAACUAAUAAAACACGAUUUAUAAAACACAAAACAAACACAAGAAGAGGUAAGUCGUAACAUGGUAAGUAUACCGGAAGGUGUGCUUGGAAUUAC